rnacentral:lncRNA from 1 species
CUAAUUGCAUUACAAGGAAGUCAGGAGCACUAAAUCUUUCCUUUCCCUUUUAGCCAAAGGUUAGGCAAAUUAUUCUACUUUUCCACAGUUAAACCUUAUUUUUAUGAUGGAAAGAAAAGUAAAACCCCACUUGCUUUAAAGCAUUAAGUUAGGAAUGAUGUGGUUCUCAACAGAGGACUGCCUGGUGGCCAGCCUUGGUUGAUGAAUAUACAGAGAAGUUUGGAGAAGGUCUAUGAAACCAGAUCACAAGAGCCAACAAGUUAGCUGCUCUGUAGCUUAAAUAGCAGUUGCCUUGUUUUCUUCUAGACUCUGGAUCAUGGAGUAACCUGUGCAUCUACAGACCUACAGACUGUCUUGCUUUUUCUUUCUAGUC